UUACGGCCAUGUCAUGUUGAAAUACUGGUUCCGCUACGAUCACCGAAGUUAAGCAACGUCGAGCCUGGUCAUUACUUAGCUGGGUGACCAAUUGUGAAUAUCAGGUGCUGUAAG